AGAAAGAGAGAGAGGCAGAGACACAGGCAGAGGAAGAAGGAGGCUGCAUGCUGGGAGCCUAACAUGGACUCGAUUCCGGGUCUCCAAGAUCACACCCAGCGCUAAACCUGCUGAGCCACCCAGGCUACAAAACUAUUCUUAAGUUCUUUAAUUCCUGAAACCUGCAUCUUACAUUUCUACUUCUCCUCUCCUGUUUUACUGGAGCUCCUGUCUCACAGCAUGAAAAAUACUAUGCCAAGGGUGAGUCCCUGUUCUCACGUGAAGUUGCAGAUAUGGGUGGAGGAAGAUGUGUUUCCCAUAAGCCAACCUAAUAUGUGCUCAGCAUGAUCAUUGAGUGCUGGAAAAUUCAGUGUUCAAUUAGUUCACCAUUAUGUGAAAGAAGAUGGAAAGUAAACCAACAAUCUAAAGAUCAAGUGUCAAAGGCUGUGACAGCAAUGUAUGCCAGGAGCUCAAAGGGUGUGAUCACAUUUUUUUCUCCUUCCUGUAAGAAGUAUGGAAAUAAGUUGUCAUAUUUAUAAUAGUUUUUAACAGCAAUAUAUGUGGUCAAUAAAGGGAUCCUCUAGAAAUCUCUCCUAAAUACCAGAUUCAAAUAAGGAAACAUAAACCUGUUUGUAAUAUGUAAGCAUGUUGCAAAUUUGAAGGAUUAUUUAAAGAAAAAUUGACUCAUCACCUCUUGUUCACAACUGAAAAUGGAAACACAGACCUUUUAUUUUUUCACCCAACAUUCGGAGAGCCUAGAUUUCAUGCUGCAGCUGUCUAGAUUCAAAAAUCUACAACAGCAAUGGUGAUUCAACUUACUUGACAUUUUUGGAAUUCUAAUUUCCUCACUGCUGCUUCCAUCUCCACCAUCGCUAACUGUUCUUAUUUCAAUCAAGUAGUCUUCUUCAAAUGGAACAAGAAGCUCAGCCGAUGUAUUGUUUGUUUCCAAAAUAUGUGUUUUACUCUGUCUGUUUUGC